UAAUACUGAGGGUGCAAGCGUUAAUCGGAAUUACUGGGCGUAAAGCGAGUGUAGGCGGCUUCGUAAGUCGGAUGUGAAAGCCCCGGGCUCAACCUGGGAAUUGCAUUCGAUACUGCGCGGCUAGAGUCUGAUAGAGGGAAGUGGAAUUCCAGGUGUAGCGGUGAAAUGCGUAGAGAUCUGGAGGAACACCAGUGGCGAAGGCGGCUUCCUGGAUCAAGACUGACGCUGAGGCUCGAAAGCGUGGGGAGCAAACAGGAUUAGAUACCCUGGUAGUCCACGCCCUAGACGAUGUCAACUAGACGUUGGUCCCAUUGAAGGGAUUAGUGUCGAAGCUAACGCGUUAAGUUGACCGCCUGGGGAGUACGGCCGCAAGGUUG
rnacentral:rRNA from 1 species